UUCUACAACUUUCUGCUGCCAUCAUCUGGGGAGCCAACAGAGGAGAGCGCUGUCCCUAGGAGUCCACUCCCAAGACCAGGAUCUGUCCUGCUUUCUCUGCUCUCUCUACCAAUGUUGCCCCCAACGCCAUCGUACCCACAGCCUACAGCCCAUUCAUGGGCCAUUUAACUAACUUGAUUACAGGUAUAAACUGAGGACAACUCCAGCAGGUGUGCACCAGGCGAGAGAACCACAUGUGAGAACGUUCGUUACAGCGCCGUUCAUUACAGCAAGAAAUGUGAAAGCCUAAACUUUGGUGUCCAGGAGGCCUGAUGUAGUCACACAAUGAAAUACUUUACAGCAGUGAAGAUGAAUGAACCACAGCAGCCCACAAAAGUGAGAAAGUUAAUAGUUAUCAUCAGAUGCUCAAAGGAUUCCCAAACCAAGAAAGUUCAAGAACUCUCGCUGGUCUAAAGGCUGUGCCUAGCAAACUCAGCCCGGUUUCACUGAUAGCAGUCAUCACAUCUGGACACGUGGAGUGAGG
rnacentral:lncRNA from 1 species